rnacentral:SRP_RNA from 1 species
GGGUGGGUCCGGCGCGGCGGAAGUUUGUGAACCUCGUCAGGUCCGAAAGGAAGCAGCGAUAAGCAGAUCUUUCCGGGUGCCGCCGGGGUUCCUGCCCAGG